GUACUGGUGGAGAAGAGGCUUCUUUGUUUGCUUCCGACAUUUUCAGAAUUGCUGCAAUUUGUGUCAAUGGAAAACUUAAAUUCGAGAGUGGAAUUCACAGGGUUCAGCGUAUUCCUAUCACUGAGAAAUCUGGACGUAUGCGCUGUAUCUGUUGCCAUCCUUCCCCAGGCUGAUGAGGUAGAUGUUCAGCUAAGGAAUGAAGAUUUGAGGAUUGAUACAUACAGGUCUGGUGGCUGCGGUGGUCAACAUGCCAACACAACCAACAGCGCAGUCCGAAUAAUCAAUCCAUCAUCCAACUGGGAUCAUGGUCUCCAUCCAAGACGAAAGAUCACAACAUAUGAACAAAGCCAAAGCACUUAAAGUACUCUGCGCUAAACUUUAUGAGAUCGAAAGGUUGAGAUUACAGAGCAGCCGGUCAAAGCUACGGUCAGA